rnacentral:lncRNA from 12 species
AUGGUUAGCUCAAGAACGGUCUCUUUUGUGGCCACCUUCAUGAUCAUUUGUUCCCUCGAGAGCUAUUUACGGAGCACGUGCUAUGUGCCAGGUCUCUGCUCAAGUGCCUCUGACAUCAAAGUGAAGAGAAAACAGACAUGGUCUCACUCCACAAACAAUACAAGCAAAGGUAAGUACUAUAAAAGAGAGAAAACUUGUUCCAUGAGGCCAGACUAUAUAUUUUUUUUUCUUUCUAGAGGAAUGCCUCUUAAGUUCUAUGAAGGAAGAGAAAAAGAUACGUCAUGUAAUGCCAAUAAAUUCAUUUGGUUCAUUUAUCAAAGGCCAGAGGACUAUCUUCAUUGUCAUCUCUUGGGGACCAAACAAAGGCUACUUUCCACAAGGGGCGAAAAUCCUUGUCGUGGGUAAAGUUUCCCUGGCUGUUGGAGGAAGGCAGCUCACGGGGACUCAAACAGUUCGACUUCCUUUGUUAGGAGGCUGAGUACCAGGGCCAAGCUGGGAAAUUAAAGAUUAAGUUCAUUAAGGUAAGGUAAUUGUGUGGAGGCAUUGUUGUUGAUACAGGUGGAGCGAUGGGGGCUGGGGUAGGAAGCCCAUUGACGUGGAGGGCCGACCCAUUAAACAGGCUUAACAGAUGUGCAACACAAAUAUGUUUAUUAUUUGCCUGAUGGCUGACCUGUGCUUUCGCUGUUUCAUUAGUCAACAGGCCCCCACCCAAGGAGAGACCGGACGCCCCGCCGGGAAGCAGGUGGAAGAGAAGGCAACGCAGGCUCCGGAAAGGAAAGAUCCAGUCCUGUGGGCCCUGCUCGCCUCCGCCUCCACCGCUCGCCGCCACGUCUAAGCUCCCUCCUGGCCUGGUCCCCACCUGAGGGGAAGAGCCAGCCCUUGCUGGACGAUGCUCUCCCACCUGAGGCGUGUCUCGGGUCUCUGUUGGUGCAGAAGAGCACGUUGGAUGCCCCACGUACGGGAGGCAUUGGACUCUGUCCUCUCUGAAAUCUGGUGAUUGAGCUUCCAGUCAGGGAGUUUGUCAAACGCUCUCCUUCCCCAGUCGCUUGCCUCCUCAGGAACUGACUACUUUGGAAAUCUGGGCGGCCUGUCUUUCAAUUCCUUCUUCUGGGGUGGGGGAAUCAAACAAAACCAAACACACCCUCCCUCCCCAAUACACACACUCACACACACACACAUCCUACUCACACAGAUACACUCUCUCUGCUUUGUUAUUUCAAACUGUGUUUGUCUUUGUGAGGGAGAGCUCCUCCCUGCCCCUUCCCUAACUUGGAGACCCACAGAUACUUUAAAAAGAAACAAGUGGAAAGCAGUGUCCUGGACUUUCUGGUGAGCAUGGGGUCCAUCCCUGGCGAUUUGUUUGAGAGGAGGAAGGCGGACAGGGAGGUGCCCAGAGUGUGGCCAAAUGGCUGAAAAAAAGUGUCUGGUGCAAGUGUUCAAGAAAACCAUUCCCACACAAGCCUCCCUGCCUUAUUUCCCCCCAUGUCUUGGGCAGAAGAAGAAAGGUCUUCUUUACUUUUGGUGGGGUCAGUAGUUCCAUUUCUGCUGAGGAGCUGAGAAAUGCUGUCAGCCUUGGAGAUGUCUUUGAUAACAGAGAUCCUGAAAGAGAAGCGCUUGUUUAUUUGCAUGAUAGGGUCACUUAUUAUACAAAAACUCACCAGCUUUCUUUUCUUUCCCCUCCUGCCCUCCCUCCAGCCCCCCUCUGAGGAAAAUAAACAGUGUCAUAAUGAUUUUGGUAAAUAGAAU